AUUGAACGCUGGCGGCAGGCCUAACACAUGCUCGUCGAGCGGAGCUGCGGACGGGUGAGUAAUGCCUAGGAAUCUGCCUGGUAGUGGGUGAUAACGUCCGGAAACGGGCGCUAAUACCGCAUACUAUCAGAUGAGCCUAGGUCGGAUUAGAUAGUUGGUGGGGUAAAGGCCUACCAAGGCGACGAUCCGUAACUGGUCUGAGAGGAGGAUCAGUCACACGGGAACUGAGACACGGUCCAGACUACUACGUGAGGCAGCAGUGGGUAAUAUUGGACAACGGGCGAAAGCCUGAGCCAGCCAAGCCGCGUGUGUGAAGAAGGUCUUCGGAUUGUAAAGCACUUUAAGUUGGGAGGCGUUACCAACAGAAUAAGCACCGGCUAACUUCGUUCCAGCAGCCGCGGUAAUUC
rnacentral:rRNA from 1 species